UUGAACGCUGGCGGACUGCUUUACCCCUGCAAGUCGAACGGCAGCACGGGGGCAACCCUGGUGGCGAGUGGCGAACGGGUGAGUAAUACAUCGGAACGUGCCCGGUCGUGGGGGAUAACGUAGCGAAAGUUACGCUAAUACCGCAUACGAUCUGAGGAUGAAAGCGGGGGACCUUCGGGCCUCGCGCGAUCGGAGCGGCCGAUGUCAGAUUAGGUAGUUGGUGGGGUAAAGGCCUACCAAGCCGACGAUCUGUAGCUGGUCUGAGAGGACGACCAGCCACACUGGGACUGAGACACGGCCCAGACUCCUACGGGAGGCAGCAGUGGGGAAUUUUGGACAAUGGGCGCAAGCCUGAUCCAGCCAUUCCGCGUGCAGGACGAAGGCCUUCGGGUUGUAAACUGCUUUUGUAUGGAACGAAAAGGCUCUGGCUAAUACCUGGGGCUCAUGACGGUACCGUAAGAAUAAGCACCGGCUAACUACGUG
rnacentral:rRNA from 1 species